rnacentral:tRNA from 1 species
GCCUGGCUAGCUCAGUCGGUAGAGCAUGGGUCUCUUAAUCCCAGGGUUGUGGGUUCAUGCCCCACAUUGGGCA